GAGCAGUGCGUAUCUGUACCCGGCGGUAUCUGCCUACACGGCUAGUACUGUAGUACUAGUAGAUCUACAGGCACCUAGUACCUGGCCAGGCCCAAGGCCCAAGCCCAAGGCUCAAAUCGAGUUAGGUCUCAUGAGUCAUGAAGAAUUACUAGAACAAGGCCCAGGGUUCUGUUUAUUUAUGCUUUAUUUUUACUCAAUCUGCGGACAGCAUGCUGUUUCGUUCUCACGGUGAACAGUUUAUUUUUAAAUGUUGAAAGAGCGUCUGUUCAUGGCGCUAUGUAGCAUGGGACGGCCUGUGCCGGUCACACGCAUCAGCGACUCACUGUGCAUGCGGAGGAUGCGGAGUGCGGAGCCACUGAGUCGUUGCUUGGACGGCCGACUCGAACGUUGGCACGGGUACGGGUGAAGAGUUCAGUUCGACGCUCUGGCGGAAAAUCCACACAACGAGCACAACACAACCGGAACCCUGGGGAGUGGCCGUGCUCCUGAUCAAUGUCAAAAGCCUGUGUUUCGGCUACAGUUCCAUGAACCGGAAAAAGAGCAAUGGGAGAUGUAUCCGUGUCUAGCGAUGUAUUGCGGACGACUCAGUGAAGCGAUGUGUGAAAGCCGAGCAUAGGAGUAGCUUUGCGGCAGGUUGCAUGCGGGAAGGCAUCGUGCUGUAAACUCCAUCCUGACACCUAGUCUGUCUCCACUCUGACCUGUCCUCUGCCGUGUCAAGCCACUCUCAUCCAGGCUAAUGGACACCACGGCCACCACAGCCACGCCAUGCUUGGCUUGACCAAGUCAUUCCACCUCUUCCUGGGACCAUGCAGAGACCGCUUAGUCAGCAAGGCGCCAUAGAGCAGUCGGCGGGAAUGUGAUCUCCUAUGCGAGUCAUAUGACCCAGCCAUUGGAAGUGACGGCGCCAAAUCUUGUCAGAUCUGCUCUGUGUAGACCUGAACAGUGUUUGCCGCUCCACGGAAAGAUGAAUUGUAAAAACCGGCAGCGCUGCGAAACAAGCGGUGGCAGGCAUCACAGCAACGGGCGCCGGGCUGGUCCUGCAAUGGGCAAUGACUGUACAGCUGAGAACUUGAAAACCAAGAACAGCGAAUGAGCGGUUGUAAACCUUGCGGGUAGCGGUUGUAAACCUUGCGGAUAACUCUGUUGUUGGUGCGCUCCACGGGAUCAUCCGGAGUAUAAGCAAUCGCCUCACGCUGGGGUUAUGUACUCUUUAUGUGCCGGAUUGACCUCAGCCACACGUAUGUCACCAGGCCAACAGAUCUCCUCGCUCCGGUAUUUAGACGCAUCGUUCUAAUGACACGUUUCCUGUUGCUUUGCGCUUUCAAACCACCGUUAAGUGUCCAUACAAGAUGUUCAUAUGCCGUGUGAUGGACUGGCGCAGAACCAAGCUCGGUAUCACUGGAUCAGCAAUGCGAAACGACACGUACUCGAGCAGUAUCCUGACAAUGUACUCAAUGCUCUUCACAGCUACUCAUGAUUGAUUUGGUAUCGGCCAGGAGAUUUAGUAAUGUGAGAAAAUGGACUUGACAAGUUCACGUGUCCAAAUGCUAUAAUAUCACUAAAGUGAACCCUGCGGAAGGGAUUACUCUAGCUGCAGGCAAACAGUGAUUGGGACCGACCUGCACUGACAGUACAUCAAUGAAGUUCCGGCAUGUUGAUACAAUACGGUCUUAAUGAAGUUUCGGCAUGUUGAAACAAUACGGUCUUCUAAUGAUAGUAAUACAUACCGAGGGUAAGUCAGCCGAGGCGAUCCUGGACAAUGAAAUUCUAAUGUUCAAUUAUCUAUAAACUAUAAUGAUGAACCUCUGCUGGCUAGGUGCAAUGCAUCAUCAUCUUACUUUUCAAGUGCUUGCACCUUGGAUUACUCUCGCGUGGUAGCGGCUGCUGUGACUUCCUUCAAAGCGAGGGUUUUCCCCGGCUGUCUCGGUCCAGAAAAACUAAUCUUGACAUUCCCAAGACUAUCCUGGCCUAUUUGAUUUUCUGUUGUUUGAUUUUCUGUUAGCCGAGCAUAUCCAUUCUUUACUCCAGAGACUCUAUCCCCCUGCUGUAGCUCCUAGUUUCCUUCUGCAAUUUAGUUCACAUCUGGCUGCGGCCUACUGCCCUGUGGCCGCUUUUUUUGUUUGUGUGCUCCUCCU